rfam:Oryza sativa (indica cultivar-group) chromosome 2, whole genome shotgun sequence.
AAUAAGUGCAGCCAUAAGUUUCCGCGUCCAACUUUAAUUGUCCGUCUUAUUUAAAAUUUUUUUAUAAUUAAUAUUUUUAUUGUUAUGAGAUGAUACAACAUGAAUGGUGCUUUACUCGUGACUUAUUUUUUUUUCAAAAAGUUUUCAAAUAAGACGAGCGGUCAAAGUUGGGCACGGAAAACCAUGGCUGCAUUUAUU